rnacentral:rRNA from 1 species
GCAGCAGCCGCGGUAAUACGUAGGUGGCGAGCGUUGUCCGGAAUUAUUGGGCGUAAAGGGAGCGCAGGCGGACAUAUAAGUCCAUCUUAAAAGUGCGGGGCUCAACCCCGUGAGGGGAUGGAAAUUGUAUGCCUUGAGUGCAGGAGAGGAAAGCGGAAUUCCCAGUGUAGCGGUGAAAUGCGUAGAUAUUGGGAGGAACACCAGUGGCGAAGGCGGCUUUCUGGACUGCAACUGACGCUGAGGCUCGAAAGCCAGGGGAGCGAACGGGAUUAGAUACCCGAGUAGUCCCUGUCUCUUAUACA